rnacentral:rRNA from 1 species
CUCCGGUUGAUCCUGCCGGACCUGACUGCUAUCGGAUUGGUACUAAGCCAUGCGAGUCGUUGUAGCAAUACAAGGCGGACGGCUCAGUAACACGUAGUCAACCUAACCUAUGGACGUGGAUAACCUCGGGAAACUGAGAAUAAACCGCGAUAGAUCAUUAUGCCUGGAAUGGCUUAUGGUUCAAACAAUUUAUUGCCGUAGGAUGGGACUGCGGCCUAUCAGCUUGUUGGUGAGGUAAUGGCCCACCAAGGCUAUAACAGGUACGGGCUCUGAGAGGAGAAGCCCGGAGAUGGGUACUGAGACACGGACCCAGGCCCUAUGGGGCGCAGCAGGCGAGAAACCUUAGCAAUGUGCGAAAGCACGACUAGGUUAAUCCGAGUGAUUUCUGUUGAAGAAAUCUUUUGUCAGUCGUAAAACCACAGACGAAUAAGGGGUGGGCAAGUCUGGUGUCAGCCGCCGCGGUAAUACCAGCACCUCGAGUGGUCAGGAGGUUUAUUGGGCCUAAAGCAUCCGUAGCCGGCUACGCAAGUCUCCGGUUAAAUCCAGCUGCUCAACAGAUGGGCUGCCGGAGAUACUACAUAGCUAGGGAGCGGGAGAGGUAGACGGUAUUCUGUGGGUAGGGGUAAAAUCCACUGAUCCAUAGAGGACCACCAGUGGCGAAGGCGGUCUACCAGAACGCGUUCGACGGUGAGGGAUGAAAGCUGGGGGAGCAAACCGGAUUAGAUACCCGGGUAGUCCCGGCUGUAAACGAUGCAAACUCGGUGAUGCAUUGGCUUAUGGCCAAUGCAGUGCCGCAGGGAAGCCGUUAAGUUUGCCGCCUGGGAAGUACGGACGCAAGUCUGAAACUUAAAGGAAUUGGCGGGGGAGCA